CUUGUUGAUUGUCUUGUAAGACCACAGUGGUCCUAUGUCACCUCUGCCACUGGGCAUGGUGGAUGGAGGCAUUCAAGCCACAUUCCUUUCUGGUCUCUGUGAGUCCAGAAUCUCCUUUUCCUUACUAGUCAUGAUCAAUCACCACAGACAGAGUUGUUUAUUUCUUUAUUGUCUUUUCACAGCUAAUGACAUGAGGAGUUUGAAAUGGCCAUGUGGCAGCCUCAGCUUCCAGUUCUUUGAAACCAUUGAAAUGAAAACUUGUCCUGGCCCCUGAACGUAUUGCCAGCUGUCAUCCCUGCUUCUAUGAUGCAUGUGUAGGGCGGAGAUUCAGCUAAAUGGAGCAUCUAUGGCAAGAAGCUUCAAGGUGAGCAUGAAGAAAAUAGAGUAAGUUCUCAUGUCCUACUCAUGGAUUUCUCAUCCAGCCUUCCAGCUGGAGCACAGCACGCAGUUGCUGAGUUGAUCCUGACAGCAUGUCCUCUCAAGGACUGAGAUUGUCGGUGACUUUUUCUGUGUGUGAUGAAUCAUGAGGUGUCUUAGCAGAAGUGAGAAGAUUGGAAUAGGCUAAUUAGCUUCUGAAAGUUAAAAAUUGAUGUGGUAGAAGAAAAAUAAUAAUUAUUUUUGCUUAACCUCUAUUUUCCAUAUCAAAAUAAGAUACACUAAGUGACAGAAACUUUGCUUUUAAAGACAAGUAAGGACGCAAGAAAGAUGUCUGCUCUGAAUUCAUCAUUCACAUGGCUAACUUUCUUCCUUCUUUUGGGUCUUUGCUGAAAUGUCAUUUUAUCCCAGAGGACAUCUCUGAGCACCAUGUGUAAAAUGGCAACAUCCCCUAAUACUAAACACCCCAACCCCCUUGCUCUCCUUUAUUGAUCCCUAUGCCCCAUCAGGAAUGGGAACUGACUUGGCAGUGACUUGGUGUCUUGUUCACUGUUGUUUCUACAAUGUAUGGUUAUGGUUGACAUAAAUAUUUAAAUGUCAAUUGGCAUUUGAUGAAUAAAACAUAAAUGUGUUUGCUUGAGUAUUUAUUA
rnacentral:lncRNA from 13 species